rnacentral:rRNA from 1 species
UACGGGGGGAGCAAGCGUUGUUCGGAUUUACUGGGCGUAAAGGGCGCGUAGGCGGCGUGACAAGUCACUUGUGAAAUCUCCGGGCUUAACUCGGAGCGGCCAAGUGAUACUGCAGUGCUAGAGUGCAGAAGGGGCAAUCGGAAUUCUUGGUGUAGCGGUGAAAUGCGUAGAUAUCAAGAGGAACACCUGAGGUGAAGACGGAUUGCUGGGCUGACACUGACGCUGAGGCGCGAAAGCCAGGGGAGCAAACGGG